rnacentral:rRNA from 1 species
UACAGAGGGUGCGAGCGUUGUCCGGAAUCACUGGGCGUAAAGGGCGCGUAGGCGGCUCAGUAAGGUUGCGGUGAAAGCCCGGGGCUCAACCCCGGGUCGGCCGUGGCAACUGCUGGGCUAGAGCACUGUAGAGGCAGGUGGAAUUCCGGGUGUAGCGGUGGAAUGCGUAGAGAUCCGGAAGAACACCGGUGGCGAAGGUGGCCUGCUGGGCAGUAGCUGACGCUGAUGCGCGACAGCGUGGGAGCAAACAGG